rnacentral:lncRNA from 1 species
GAAGUAAUCGUGGUAACACCAUAAGAAAUUGGCAGUUUCAACUUAUGAGUUUCCUUUGCUGUUUUUUUGGGAAACAACGAGAAACAUUCAUUUGAUGUUUUAUCCAUGGAACCAGUUUUGAAUGCAUAUUAUUGGUGGUGGUAGAAACAAAAAUCAAAUUUUCAAUUAUACCUCAAUAUAGUAUUGAUAUGAUUUAGAAAAUCUUCGUAAUUACAAAGAUACUAUAAAAACAACCUCGUAUAUACAAGGUAGAAAACAGAAACAUAACUUACAAAACUGGUAAGCAACAGAAAACAACAGUUGAACAAACUAAACUACUAGCAUUUACUAUUUCAAAAACAAGAAAUGAAAGAAUCAAGUAAUCUUUGUAAUAGAAAAUUAAAAUACCCCGACUUAAGUAAGGAAUUGGCAGAUUCAGGUUAUGAGUCGUUAGAAUCUGAUAUAUGAGAAAUUUUCUUAUGUUGUUUGUUGGGAAACAACGAGAAACAACCGGUUGAUGUUUUAUCCGUAGAACCUGUUUUGAUUGUAUCUAACUUCUUGUCCUCUUGUAGUUUCUCUUCUUGUGCUCUUUUCUUCAAUUUUUCCUUGUAUAUCUUCUGCAUCACAUAUGUUUCAGCUAGCCCAAAUCCUGCUGAUGCCAUGUCUUGUUAGAAAAUACUAUGAAUGAUAAUGAAAAAGCUUAAAAGUGAGAAGAAAGUUGGGGAGAAUAUAGAUAUAUAUAUAUAUAUAGAGUUGGUAUAGGCUUGGGGAACAAGGAAAGAAAAUCAGCCUCAUACCCUCUAGUUUGACUUUGACCCAUUUAUUGUUU